AAGGUACGCCGGGGAUAACAGGCUGAUCCUAGCCAAGAGUUCACAUCGACGCUAGGGUUUGGCACCUCGAUGUCGGCUCAUCACAUCCUGGAGCUGUAGCAGGUUCCAAGGGUCCGGCUGUUCGCCGGUUAAAGUGGUACGUGAGCUGGGUUUAGAACGUCGCGAGACAGUUCGGUCCCUAUCUGUCAUGGGCGGAGGAGAUUUGAGUGGGGCUGUCCUUAGUACGAGAGGACCGGGAUGGACGCACCUCUGGUGUACGAGUUGUCGUGCCAACGGCAGCGCUCGGUAGCUACGUGCGGAUGGGAGAAACGCUGAAUGCAUCUAAGCGUGAAACCCUCCACAAGAUGAGAUCUCCCAGGUCGCAAGACCUCUAAAGGCUCCUGGAAGAUUACCAGGUGAUAGGUCGGGUGUGGAAGCACAGCGAUGUGUGGAGCUAACCGAUACUAAUCAGCCGUGAGGCUUGACCAUA
rnacentral:rRNA from 1 species